rnacentral:misc_RNA from 1 species
UAGAGUUUUCUAAACUCCCAACCCUUUGUGAACUUACCUUUGUUGCCUCGGCGGGGCCUACCCGGUACCGACCCCUUCUGGGCGAAGUUACCCUGUAGCCCGCCGGUGGAUUUUCAAAACUCGUUAUUUUUAAUGUUAUCUGAGCGUCUUAUUUUAAUAAGUCA